AUUGAACGCUGGCGGCAUGCCUUACACAUGCAAGUCGAACGGUAACGGGCCUUCGGGUGCCGACGCGUGGCGAACGGGCGAGUAAUACAUCGGAACGUGCCCGAUCGUGGGGGAUAACGAGGCGAAAGCUUUGCUAAUACCGCAUACGAUCUACGGAUGAAAGCAGGGGACCGCAAGGCCUUGCGCGGACGGAGCGGCCGAUGGCGGUUUAGGUAGUUGGUGGGAUAAAAGCUUACCAAGCCGACGAUCUGUAGCUGGUCUGAGAGGAUGAUCAGCCACACUGGAACUGAGACACGGCCCAGACUCCUACGGGAGGCAGCAGUGGGGAAUUUUGGACAAUGGGGGCAAGCCUGAUCCAGCCAUGCCGCGUGCAGGGUGAAGGCCUUCGGGUUGUAAACUGCUUUUGUACGGAACGAAAAGCCUUCUUUUAAUACAGGAGGGUCAUGACGGUACCGGAAGAAUAAGCACCGGCUAACUACGUG
rnacentral:rRNA from 1 species